rnacentral:lncRNA from 1 species
CUAGCCUCCUUUGAUCUUCAAUUUCGUCCAUCCACCUUGCUUCAAGCAUAAGCUAUCCAUUCCAUGACCAAAACUGCUCCAAAAUGCACAUGUUUGCAUACUUUGUCCUUAAAACAUGAAAUUGCACGAAAAUAGCUUAAAAUACUAAAAUUACUAAGUACUAGCAACGUAAAUGCAAGGAAACAAGCUAAUUAAGUCGCAUAAAUAUGCUCCUAUCAAAUUCCCCCACACUUAGCUUUUGCUAGUCCUCGAGCAAAACAAAACAAAACAAAACACAACCUAGAGCUUCCAACAAUUGUCUUAGGGAUUUCCAAUGCACAUGACAUGCUAAAAAUCAUUAUUUACAUAGAUUUUAGUCAUCCUUACCCUCGAGCACAUACUUCAUCAUAGUCACCAUUCACUAGCUCACAUUUAAUCAAUUAAAACAUGGUUUUGAAUGUAGUAACAUGCCUUAGAGAAUUCCCUCAAUUCCUUACUAGAUAUGCACUCCAUUUUCACUCAGAUUUUUUGACUACACUCCCUACACUAGAUAUAUGUGAGAGAUUGAUGUAAACAUGAAAACUAAUACUCACAUAUGUUUUAGCAAAGAAAGCACUUUUCUGGAAUUAUUAAUGCAUGUAUAUAUAUGAUCUCAUGAACAGAAUGCCACUACUUAGAAGCGAGAACCAGUGAUAUCAUAUGCUCAUACCAAUUCCAAACUCCACAUAUUGAAACACACAACACUCAAGAUGGAAGUCAAGGGUUGUAACGGGGCUAAGGGUAUUGGCUCACGAAGAAAGGUAAGGAUAAACAAAGGUUCUUAAAGAAAUAGUAAGCAAAGUAAUGAAAUUGACACUUAGAAUUCACUUUUGAAUGCAAAAAUCAACUUUUAAACACAAGGGAAGAUUCAUGCAACACUUAGGGUCAAAUUCAAACUUUUGGACCCUUUCUUCAACAACCAACACAUUAGAACUCUUUUUCACAUAAUUUUCAACUCUUUUUUUCAUUCUCUUCACAACUUUUCUUUUUUUUUUUCUUUUUCCACGAAUUUUUUUAUUUUUUAUUUAUUUUUUAUUCCGUGCCUUUUUCUCUCUUUUUGGCACACAAAACACAAAAUUCCCUUCCCCCACACUUGUUUUUCAGCAUAAUGUUGAUCAAAAGGAAUUCACUCUAAGUCAUGCUUCACUAUUCUUUAAGAACCAGGGUAUGGAUAGUCCUAAUCUAGGCUAGGUAGGGAUAAUGUGGUUAACAAAGAAAAUAGGCUAACGAAGGCUCAAAGGGGUUAAACAUACAAAACAUAUGACAAGGGUGGAUUUGGCUAUUUGGCUUUGGUUCACUAAACAACUUCAUCUUGAAUAUGUGUUAUGCAAAUCAAUGUCAUGCUUUGAAUGGAACGGGUAUGAGUUCUAGUAUUUGGAUCUAUAAUGAUGAAACGCAUUCUAAGUAGCAACCAAGCAAAGAAUAAUGAGAUCAUGCAACAACUUUAGAAAACAAGAAAUCACAGAUUAAUAACUCUCCAAAUAACGUUUAGGCUCAAGUCUCACAGGGUUGUAGCGUUAAUUUGAGUUCCUUCCUUCAAGCAUGUUACAAAAACUAAUUUUUUUUCUUUUGUGAUUGCAUGCGAAUUCGUAAACUAUAACUACAACCAAGCAUAAACCACAGAGCAUAUCAAACUUCCAUCCAUGUUUGUAACUUUCUUUAACAGUCAUGCAAUUAAAAACCAAAUCCUCAUCAUUGUGUUGGAAGGUACCCUAAGACACAAACAAACACACAAAAACAACUCUUUUUGGCUUUUUCAAAACACUUUUUCCAGAUUUUUUUUCAAUUUUCGGAUUUUACUUCAAAACACACCAAAACAGCUCAAAAUGCACUAAAAACACUUAAAAACAGUGAGAAAAAACUUUAGAGGGGAUACGUAAUAAAACCCACGAAUUUGCAUUAAAAAUACUUUGUUAUCCCCCCACACUUAAAUGAAACAUUGUCCUCAAUGUUUUAAGCAUAAACUCACAGAAAGCAAACAAACAAACAGACAACUAAGCAUGGUAAAAUAAAAUCAGCAAAGAUAAAGGUUUAGGAACGCAAAUCUGAGUGUGGAGUUAAAGUUCCAUCGUUCCUAAGUUGAAUGCAUAGGUUGCCUCCCAAGAAGCGCUUGCUUUAACGUCUUGCAGCCGGACGAGACCUCCAAUUAAGCUCCAUUGGUGGCCAGGGCAUGGAAUUGAUCUUUGAAUGGACGGUGAUACUUUAAAUGAUCCGGCAAUGGUUUAAAUUCUAACGUGGGUGCCUGAAUCAUCAAAAUCAAUAUGUUAGUAAAAAACGUAUUUGAAAUUUGGCCAGAUUUACUACGAUGGUUGUGAUUUGUCCCAUGUCAUCAAACUCAACUUCUUUGGGCUUUGUUGUUUCAAAUACGUCCUUUUUGAUGAAUUCUUGACAUUCUCCAGCCACUUCUUUUUCUUGAAUCCUUCUUUUUGAUGUACAAAGUUCUUUAAACAAUUCAACACAAUCUGAAACUUGGUUUGCUGUACCUAGAAUUUGGAUAUCACUUUGCACUUUGGGAAGAGCUUCCACAAUGUCUUUUUCACUCUCUUCUUUCUUGGGAAUAAAAAAUCUGCGAGAAAAAGGGACAUUUGAUGGAAUAAUGUUAGAAUGAAUUGAAUUAGGAACCACCUCACCUAAGUUGGACGGCAUAGGGACUUGAGGGGCUUGCGGGAAUAAUGUUAGAAUGAAUUGAAUUAGGAACCACCUCACCUAAGUUGGACGGCAUAGGGACUUGAGGGGCUUGCGGCAAGAGUUCUUCUAAACUGCCCAUAUCGUCAUCCUCCUCUUCUUCUUGCAGCAGCAAUUCAUCCACUUUCGGGCUAUGUUUGGAUGGUUCAGGAACAGCUUCAUCCUCUAUUUCACUUCCCAAAGUGAUAGCCUCAACAAUUGCAAAAUCUUCCAUUGAAUUUAUGAUAGGAGCAUAUUUAUGCGCCUUAGUUAGCUAGUUCUUAUGCAUUUCCAUGGUGUUUUCUUAGUUAACAUAGUCUUUUAAGCUAGUUUUAUGUGUUUUCAGGUUUUAGAGACAAAGUAUGCAAGGAAGUGCAAAAUGGAGCAUAAUUGAGCUAAAAUGGCGUUUUUACUUAUGGAGCACAAGGAAUGGACGAGUUGAAGGUCAAAGGGAGCUUAAGAAAUGAAGAAAUGAAAGUGAAGAACAAAGAAUUCAGAAUUAGAACCCAAAGUUUCUAAAGUUGGAAGUUUCUAUUCUUGGAGGUUUCCAUUUGUGAGAGUUUCUAUUCUUGGCUUUGGGCUUCUAGAUGACCCAUCCUUACAUUCUUGGACAUUGCCGCACCAUAGGCCCAUCUCUAAACCCUAACCCUAGCCGCACCUUAGGCCUUAUUCCCACUAAAAAUCUGAUUGUUUUAACCUAAUUUCUGGUGGAUUUGGGCUUCUAGAAACCCUAAUCUGAUUACCCUAGGGUUUUGGAUGCCUAUAUAUACUCAUUAUAACCCCUAGAUCAGAUCACCACCUCUCAUACACAAUCAUUCACGCCAGAAAUCUGCCCUUGCAUUCUGCCGCACCUUCCCAUCACCAAAGUCCCAAAAUUCUGCCCAAAAAUCAUCCCUAGCCGUACCCCCAUCAACCCUAAACCUUUCCCUACCAUUCCCCAUCCAUUCUACACCCUAAAUACCACCCAAAACCUGUUCUAAACUUCUCUGCCGCAGCAAGGAGGAAAGGGAAAUCAUUGAUGAUCUUGCUGCCAAGUUGGAGUCUUCUAGGUGUUUUCUUUCUUUGGGUUUUAAUUUCUAAAUUUAUGUAUCUUUGCUUUGCGAGUAUGAGGAACUAAACCCCUCUUAGUUAGGGGGUGAUUCGAAACCAUGUACAUGCUUGCAAUAUGAUUUGAUUACAUUCAGUUGUUAUUUCAUAAGUUGUGGAUUCAAUUCGUUCAUCUAUUUGAUUGAUAACUUAUUUGUGUAUGUUGAUUGAGAGUGCACGCUUAGUUUUCAUGCAUGAAUAUGAUGCUAGAUUAUGAGGGAGUUUCACCUAAUAGUUACAAUCUUAUAAUCACAAGUAGUGAAGGUCGCUUGAAAACGAUCGCGUUGAAUGAAUUCUUGGCAUAAGUUUCAUGCAAUUCAUAGUAACAAAUGCUUCGUCAAUGCUUAUGUUUUUCAUAGAACGUAAUGAUUCUUGCUUGUAUCUCUAUUAUGCAAUUCAUGUAGGGAACUUGUAGGGAAUGUUUUGGGUUGUCGUAUGCAAUCAUCCAACUCAAUAACUCGUGGAAAAACUGAGGGUUAAUUAGUGCAAUUCACGGUUAAUUUGGGGCGUUGAGUAUUCAUAAUUUAUUGAAAGAACAACUGAAAAUUGUUUUGUUUGCAAGUGUGACAUGUGUGGAGAAGAACCUCCUAACUAGCCUUUUAUCCAUCCUUUUCAUCCAAAAACGUUUUACAAUCUGUUUAGUUUUAAGUUUCUGUUUUGUUUUCAAUUUUCGUCCAAACAAAUCCCCCUUUAUUUUGAAGUCUUAGAUUAGUUAGAAAGUGUUUUGAUUCAAGUUUUCACUCAAAUUCGUCCAAGUUCUUGUUAGGUUCUCAAAACUGCCCAGAAAGUGGUUUUUAGGCAGUUUUGAGUCAUUAGGUUGCUGUUUUGAGUUUUGUGUUUGUUCAAGUGUUUUAAACUUUAGUUUUGCAUUCUUUGAGUCUAGUUUAGUGUUUUAAACUUUGUUUUUAUGUUUUUAAGUCAGUUUUCAAGUGUUUAGCAAUCCCUCCUAAUCCCCGGUCUAGAACGAUCCCUACUUACAUCUUUACUACAAUUUGACAAAAAGAGGGUUUAAUUUGUGUGCUUAUCUAUUUCGCAUCAAUUUACAAUCUUUGCAUUGGAGAAUUCACUUUGUUCUUGAAUUUGUGCCAUGAUCUCCAUAAUCUGCCCAACUUGUUUCUCUAAUUCAUCCAUCUUGUUGGCUUGAUUUUUCAUCCCCUUGGUUUGGUUUUCUACUUCCUGUGUCAAAAAGGUGAGUAAUUGAACAAUUUGGUCAUUAUCCAUCGACGUACCUGAAUUUGUUUGGGAAGAUUGUGGUGGAGGCUGUGAUGGUGCAUAUUGCCAUUGAUAGAACUCCUUAGAUAGCUGUGAAUAUUCAUCUUGUUGUGAGCCCUGCGUCAAAGAGGUUAGUACAUCAAGAAUUUCAUCAUAACUCAUAGGCAUACUUGAAUUCGAUUGGAAUUGUCGUGGGGGGACGGUGGUGGCUGCAUAGGCGUGGUGUAAAACUCCUCAUAUGGCUGUGAUAGAAGCAUAUUUAUGCGACUGAGUUAACUUGUUCUCAUGCAUUUAUGUUGUUAUUUCUUAGUUAAUUAUGUAUUUUAAGCUAUUUUCGUGUGUUUGUAGGUCCAAAGGGUUAAUGUGGCAAAGAAGUGCAUUUUGGAGCAUUUUUGGGCAUGGAAUGGAUAGCUUAUGCUUGAAGCAAAAGGAAUGGAUGAAAUUUGAAGUUUUUGCAUCAUCCUCUCCCUAUAAAUAACCAUUUUAGCACACUCAUUUCACCCAACACAUUCACCUACUACUACAUCCACUCAUUUCACCCAACACAUUCACCUACCACUACAUCCGCUCAUUUCACCCAACACAUCCACUCAUUUCUACCACCCAACACAUUCACCUACCACUACAUCCACUCAUUUCACCCAACACAUCCACUCCUUUCAACCACCCAACACAUUCACCUACCUCUACAUCCACUCAUUACCACCACCUACUACAUCUUCUUCCUAGUCUAUAAAUACAUUCAUCCACCCUUCAUCAAAGGGAGAGAAAAAAUCCAUCCAAAGACACUACAUUCACAUCUCACAACUCCAUUCCUCCAUACAAACAAACCUUCAAACACUCACCAACACCUUGUGCCGUAGCAAAGGAAGGGAAGGAAAGUGCUUGGACGUGCUUGCUGUCCAACUUGGAUCGUUGGAGCGUUUAGGUGUUUUCUUUCUUUUGUUUCUAAUGUUUAAAUUCAUUUCAUUUUGUUUUCUUGUAAAUAUAUAAACCCCUCUUGGCUAGGGGUGAUUUCCAAGCCAUGAUUAUGUGUGCAAUAUAAUUUGAUAAAUUCCAAUUAUGAAAUCUUGAAUCGUGAAUGCAAUUGGCUUAACUAUUUGAUUGAUAACUUGUUUGUAUUUGUUAAUUAAGGGUCGACACUUAAUUGGCAUGCAUAAAUUCAUUGCUAGAAUAUAAGGAAGUUUCACAUAAUCGUUACAAACUUAUAUUCACAUGUAGUGAAGGUCACUUAUAAACGAUCGCGUUAAGUUCAAUUCCUAGCAUGAGUGACAUGAUGUCAUAGUUGCAAGUGCUUUGUCAAUGCUUAUGAUUUUCAUUAAACGUAAUGAUCUUUGAUUGUAUCUCUAUUAUGAUGUCAUGUAGGGAACUUUAGAAGAAUGUUUUGGGUUGUCGAAUGAUGUCAUCCAAUCCAAUAAAACAAGGAAAAUCUGAGAGUUAAUUAGUGAUGUCACGGUUAAUUUGGAGCAUUGUCAUUCAUAAUUCAAUGAAGUAGUAACUGGAAAUCGAGUUAUUUGCAUACAUGUCAUGUGUGGAGAAAAAGCCUCUAGCUAUCCCAUCCAUCAUCUUAUUUCUCAAAUUUGCUUUACAAUCUGUCUAGUUUUUCAUAAUUGUUUGUUUGUUUCAACUUCAUCCAAAUCAAAACCCCCCUUUUAGUUUCUUGUUUCGAAGUGUUUCAAACCCGUUUUAGUUUGUGUUUUUAAGUGUUUUGAUUCAAGUAAAAGUCAAUUUUCGUCCAAAGUCAUUCCUAGUGUCUAGUUUAAGUUUAUUUGGUUGUUUUAAGCUGUUUUGAGUAUUUUAAGUUUGCUUUGAGUCUUGAGAGUCUUGCUAAACACUCUAAAUUGACUCAAAUAGAUAAAACUAAGCUUUAAAACACUUAACUAGACUCAAAGGACGCAAAACAAACUCAAAAGACUCAAAACAAGCUAAAAACACUCAAAACUGCCUAAUGAUAGGAGCAUAUUUAUGCACCUUAGUUAGCUAGUUCUUAUGCAUUUUCGUUAUGUUUUCUUAGUUUAAGUAGUCUUUUAAGAUAGUUUCAUGUGUUUUCAGGUUUUAAGGGCAUAUUACAUAAAAAGAUGCAAUUUGGAGCUUUUUGGAGCAAAAGUGAGCUUAGAGUGAAUAGCACAUGCUUGGAACAAAAGGUUUGGACGAAAUUGAAGAUUUGAAGAUUUGAGGAUUCCUAGUCCAAGAAGGAAUCCUAAUUGAAGAAGGAUUCCUAAUCAACGAAGGAGUCUUAAUUGAAGAAGGCUUCCUAAUCAACGAGGGAUUCUGAUAGGAGCAUAUUUAUACGCCUUAGUUAGCUAGUUCUUAUGCAUUUCCAUGGUGUUUUCUUAGUUAACGUAGUCUUUUAAGCUAGUUUUAUGUGUUUUCAGGUUUUAGAGACAAAGUAUGCAAGGAAGUGCAAAAUGGAGCAUAAUUGAGCUAAAAUGGCGUUUUUACUUAUGGAGCACAAGGAAUGGACGAGUUCAAGGUCAAAGGGAGCUUAAGAAAUGAAGAAAAGAAAGUGAAGAACAAAGAAUACAGAAUUAGAACCCAAAGUUUCUAAAGUUGGAAGUUUCUAUUCUUGGAGGUUUCCAUUUGUGAGAGUUUCUAUUCUUGGCUUUGGGCUUCUAGAUGACCCAUCCUUACAUUCUUGGACAUUGCCGCACCAUAAGCCCAAUCCUUUUCAGAUUUGGACCCCUUGCCUUGCAAGGCAUUCUAGAAGCCCUAACCCUAGCCCAUUAAACUUGCCGCACCCUAGGCCCUUUUCCUACUAAAAUUCUGAUUGUUUUAGCCCAUUUUCUGGUGGAUUUGGGUUUCUAGAAACCCUAAUCUGAUUUGCUAGGGUUUUUAAGUGCCUUUAUAUAUUCAUUAAACCCUUUGGCCGCAUAUAUCACCCUCUCCAUACUUCAGAAAUUCGUCUAAAUAAUUUUCCCCACCUGGCCGCAGCUUUCAUUCACCAACCAGCCACUUCCCACUCCUUGCCGCAGCCAUUCCUUUACUCCAGCCACCAUUCUACACCUCCAUACACCACCCAUACCCCUUGCCGCACCACCAUACCAUCCUAACUCCCUUCCAAAACCAAAAUCACAUCCAAAAAUCCCCUAAACCCUCUCUGCCGCAGCAAGGAGAAGAAGAAAGAGGAGCUUGACGUGCAGAAAUUCAAAGUGGAAUUGUUGGGCGUUUUAGGUGUAAUCUUUCUUAUGUCUUCGAUGUUUCAAUUCAAUAAACUUUGUGUUGUGAGUAUGAGGAACUAAACCCCCCUUGGUUAGGGGGGAAUUCGAAACCAUGUACAUGCUUGCAAUAUGAUUUGAUUACAUUUAGUUGUUGUUUCAUAAGUUGUGAAUUCAAUUCGUUCAUCUAUUUGAUUGAUAACUUAUUUGUGUAUGUUGAUUGAGAGUGCACGCUUAGUUUCCAUGCAUGAAUAUGAUGCUAGAUUAUGAGGGAGUUUCACCUAAUAGUUACAAUCUUAUAAUCACAAGUAGUGAAGGUCGCUUGAAACCGAUCGCGUUGAAUGAAUUCUUGGCAUAAGUUUCAUGCAAUUCAUAGUAACAAAGGCUUCGUCAAUGCUUAUGUUUUUCAUAGAACUUAAUGAUUCUUGCUUGUAUCUCUAUUAUGCAAUUCGUGUAGGGAACUUGUAGGGAAUGUUUUGGGUUGUCGUAUGCAAUCAUCCAACUCAAUAACUUGUGGAAAAACUGAGGGUUAAUUAGUGCAAUUCACGGUUAAUUUGGGGCGUUGAGUAUUCAUAAUUUAUUGGAAGAACAACUGAAAAUCGUUUUGUUUGCAAGUGUGACAUGUGUGGAGAAGAACCUCCUAACUAGCCUUUUGUCCAUCCUUUUCAUCCAAAAACGUUUUACAAUCUGUUUUGUUUUAAAGUUUCUGUUUUGUUUCAAUUUUCGUCCAAAACAAAUCCCCUUUUCUUUUGAAGUCUUAGAUUAGUUAGAAUAUGUUUUGAUUUGUGUUUCUAAGUGUUUUGAUUCAAGUUUUCACCCAAAUUCGUCCAAGUUCUUGUUAGGUUCUCAAAACUGCCCAGAAAGUGGUUUUUAGGCAGUUUUGAGUCAUUAGGUUGCUGUUUUGAGUUUUAGGUUUGUUUAAGUGUUUUAACCUUUAGUUUUGCAUUCUUUGAGUCUAGUCUAGUGUUUUAAACUUUGUUUUUAUGUUCUUAAGUCAGUUUCCAAGUGUUUAGCAAUCCCUCCUAAUCCCCGGUUUAGAACGAUCCCUACUUACAUCUUUACUACAAUUUGACAAAAAGAGGGUUUAAUUUGUGUGCUUAUCUAUUUCGCAUCAGAUUCCUAGUUGAAGAUGGAUUCCUAGAAGAAUGAAGAUUCCUACUCAAACAAGGUUUCCUACUUGAAGUAGGAAAGUUAAGCCUAAAAGUUUCUACUUUGGGUUGAUCUUUCCUAAACCUAGAUGGCCUUGAAUUUCAGCAACAUUAGAAGGUUCCUAAGCGUUGGAAGACACAAAGAAGGAGUUUAGAAUAUUUCCUCAUCCUUGCCGUGGGCUAGGGCUGAUUUCCUCUUGGUUUUGGGCUUUCUAGAAGCCCUAUCCUUAUUUCCUAAAUCCAUGCCGCACCUAGCCCUUGUUAGAAUCUGUUUUCCUUGCCUUGCAAGGCUUUCUAGAAGCCUUAUCUCAGCCUAUCCAUACCUGCCGCACCUUUGGACUUUUUCCUUCUCUAAUUCUGAUUUCUAGGCCUAUUUCCUGAUGGAUUUGGGUUAUCCAAGUCCAUAUUUGAUUUACCUAGGGUUUUAUGUGCCUAUAUAUAUUCAUAAUCACCUCUUGGCCGAAUUCACCACCUCUCAUACACAACCAUUCACGUCAGAAACUCAUCCCAUACCUUUGCCGCAGCCUUCCACCACCAUUCUCCCAAAUUUCUGCCAAAAAUCAACCCUUGCCGCACCACCCAUCCAUCUUAAACACCACCAUACAUACCCCAUCCAUUCUACACCAUCUAAUAACCCAAAGAACCUAUCCAAAGUCUCUGUGCCGCAGCAAGGAGGAAGGAAUAAUCGUGGAUGCACCUGCUGCGAAGUUGGAGCGUUUUAGGUGUUCUCUUUCUUUGGAUUUUAAUGUCUAAAUUUAUGUAUCUUUGCUUUGCGAGUAUGAGGAACUAAACCCCCCUUGGCUAGGGGGGGAUUCGAAACCAUGUUUAUGCUUGUUAUAUGAUUUGAUUACUUCUAAUUGCGUUUCAUAAGUUGUGGAUUCAAUUUGCUUAUCUAUUCAAAUUAAACUGAUUUAUGUGUGUUGAUUGAGAGUGCACGCUUAAUUUUCAUGCAUAAAUCUAAUGCUAGGAUAUAAGGAAUUUUCACCUAAUCGUUAUGAACUUAUAUUCACAAGUAGUAAAAGUUGUUGAUCACAAGUGUGUUAAGUAAAUUCUUGGCAUAAGUUUCAUGCGCUUUCAUAGUUAUGAGUGCCUCGUCAAUACUUAUGAUUUCCAUUGAACGUAAUGAUCUUUGAUUGUAUCUUUAUUAUGCGCUUUCAUAUAGAGAACUUUUGAGGAAUAAUUUGAUUGCGAUGCGCUUUUUCCAUCCAAUUCAUUGACAUAAGGAAAAUCUGAAAGUUAAUUUAAGCGGACCUAAUUAACUUGGAGUGUUGAGUAUUUGAUAGGAGCAUAUUUAUGCACCUUAGUUAGUUAGUUCUUAUGCAUUUAUGUUGUGUUUUCUUAGUUAAGUUAGUCUUUUAAGCUAGUUCAUGUGUUUUCAGGUUUUAGAGACAAAGUGAGCAAAAGGAUGCAAUUUGGAGCAUUUUGGAGCAAAAUUGGGCUAAAAUGGAGUUCAUGCACAUGGGGCACAAGGGAUGGACGAAUUUGAGGAAUUGAUGAAGCUUGGAAGGCGUUUCAAAGUUGAAGAAUUGAAGAUACAAAGUUUCCUAGUUGAAGUAGGAAAGGGCUUACAUGAAGGAUUCCUAAAUGAAGAAGGAUUCCUAAUCAAUGUAGGAGUCCUAAUUGAAGAUGGAUUCCUAGACGAAUGAAGUUUCCUACUCAAGCAAGGUUUCCUAUGUGAAGAAGAAGAGUAAAGUCAAAGAAUCAGCUCAAGAGAAGGAUCUUAUCCAAAACCUCAUCCAUAACCUUAUCUUAGCUUAUCUUAUCCAAUCAAACCUUAUCCUAUCCUAUCCUAUCUUAUCCUUAUCCUAAACUAUCCACAUUUCAGCCACUUAGGAGGGUUUCUAAUUAGAUUAGGAUGAUUAAAAUGGGAUUUCUAGAAGCCCUAUCCCUUCCUAGAUAAGUGCCGCACCCUAUACCUUAAUUCCCUUGGAAUUUCAUAUUUCUAGAAGCCUUAUCUUUUCACUCUUUGUGCCGCACCUUAUCUCCCAAUCCCUUUGGGUUUUUGACUUGUUUUCCUUAUAGGAUUGUAUGUUAUUAUCCUAUGCAACUUAGGCUUUUAAAACCUUGUCCUUGGCUACCUAGGAGAUGGGAUUUUCAGCCUAUAAAUACAAGGCCUUACCGCACCCUUUCAUUGACCAUCCUCUACCAGAUUUUCACUACACCAUUCACCCAACCAUCCCUCAUUGUGCCGUGAGUUUUCAAGGAGAAGAAGGAAGACAACUUGGAGCCGUGCAUGCCAUUCAAGGAGCUUGGAUUGUGGAGCGUUUCU